rnacentral:rRNA from 1 species
UGGGGAAUAUUGCACAAUGGGGGAAACCCUGAUGCAGCAACGCCGCGUGAGUGAUGACGGCCUUCGGGUUGUAAAGCUCUGUCUUCAGGGACGAUAAUGACGGUACCUGAGGAGGAAGCCACGGCUAACUACGUGCCAGCAGCCGCGGUAAUACGUAGGUGGCAAGCGUUGUCCGGAUUUACUGGGCGUAAAGGGAGCGUAGGCGGACUUUUAAGUGAGAUGUGAAAUACCCGGGCUCAACCUGGGUGCUGCAUUUCAAACUGGAAGUCUAGAGUGCAGGAGAGGAGAGUGGAAUUCCUAGUGUAGCGGUGAAAUGCGUAGAGAUUAGGAAGAACACCAGUGGCGAAGGCGACUCUCUGGACUGUAACUGACGCUGAGGCUCGAAAGCGUGGGGAGCAAAC